rnacentral:lncRNA from 1 species
AUUGAUUGUCCUCAUCCUGCAACUGUACUUGCCCAACCGAUAUUUAUUGAUGCCUGCAGUGUCCUGGGUGCCUACCAAGGGGCACAGAACUGGAUCCGACGCAGACCCUGCCUGCCUUCAGGUUGCUUGAAGAUGAACAGAGAGAUCGGACCUCUGCAUGAAGCCAGACUGCUCAUCAUUCCAGACAUCUUCAGCUGCUACACCCAGAACAAGCAUUCGAAAUAUGAACAGGAUGGUGAGCCAGAUCUUUCCAAUCAUGGUGGAGUGGAUGUGAACUUCCUCCAGAGUAUCUCCAAGGAGAUUCCAGUCCCCCAUGUUUAUUUAGUCAGCCAUCUUAGCUCUGAUCCACAUCAAAUAAGAGGCAGAUAAAUUCUUCCAUUCUGAAGGGAGCACUAUUUCUUAAAGCAAACCUAUGGUGAAAAUAUAACAAUAUGUCACUUC